CGUCCACCUUCCGGUUUUCUCACCCACGAGGUCAACCUCGUGUUUCCGGUCGUGGAAAGGCCAGGCGAGAGAAGGAGGCGAUGCGACGGCGGCGACUCGCGGCGGGGAAAGGAGACGGCGCCGGGGACUAAACGAGCAAAGCGCGACGGCGCGACGAGAUCCUGCUCCGGCGACUGGUACCAUGUAAGUCCCCGCGCCUCCUCCCCUUUUCCGAUGCUCCCUAGUUAGGGUUUCUUGGUGUCGCCGCCGUUCGCGCCGGAGCUCCGGUAGCUCGCCGUCGCCUCCCUCGAGAUGGGUAACCUCCGCCACCUAUGAGUCCGUGCCUGAUCGCGUCCAUCCGGGAGCUCGCAGUUUACAGGCGUCCAUCGAGUAGUGCACACAAUCGUCCUUGUGGUGAUUUCCAAGAGGGGCGCCGAAGCGUAUAUUGAAUGCCAGUAGCCAGUAGUUGCAGGGCCGGCUGAUGUACAAUCGAUCCUUUUGGAGAUUUCCAGUGAGAACUAGUAGUACAUAUUCUUUGCUGAAACUAAUCAAAGAACAGUAGAGCACACAUGGUUUACAUGAAUGAUAUUUUUUUGUAUCAGAAGAUACUUGUUAGUUUAUUUGUUGUUAGAUUAUAGCAAGAGAUGAAAAUAAGAGAUGUUGCUCAGCAGCCUAUGUAUGCAUGGCCCUCCGAUUGUUUCUGUCAAUGCUUUCUACAUGUACGUGUUUAGCUAAGCAACCGUAUAAUUAUGUGCAUAAGCUCCUGCUGGAAUAUAAUCAUUUGAGUUUCAAAGGACUAUUUCUGUAACCACUGGUGGGUAACAAGACUGAAUCAUCACAACUUGUGCCAUAGCAUAUACUAUACCAUACUAUACAUAAUAUAGGCUGCAUUUGAUAAUUCAGAGCUGACUAUUCAGAAAGUAAUUAAUACAGUAUAUUUUUAAUAGGCAGCAAUGCAUGGUAGUGUGCUAGUUUCUUAAAUUUUACUAGGAAAAUGCUGCAUUAGAAAAAGGCAUCUUAAGAUACAUCCUAUUUCUUCUGGCAGUCUGAACUCUGAAGUCAAUACAAAAAUGCUGCAUACCUCAGGUCCUGAUGCCAAGUCUGAAGCUGUUAUUUACUCAAUACUAAAACAAUAGUGGUCUAGGUUAAUUAGUUUUCUUGGGCCAUGUCACAGAAGUGUCAAUCUUAGUAACUAAAGGAUUCUCAAAGGCUUCAUAUCAUACUAGAGUUAGGACUGAUUUUGAGCGCUGCUGACGACGAGCAAGUAGAUGACAAACACACUUUUCAGAAGUCCUGGUUCAUCAUGGAACUGUGACUUGUUUGUAUUCUGUUAAGUAUCAGUAGUUGUUGAAAUAAAUCAUAUCUUAAACAAUCUUUAUUUUCUCAUCACCAUGUAAAACAGGCCUGUCUACUUCUGUUAGUGGCCAGUUCUUUUUUCUCUCGUUGUUCUUUUUUUGACAGAUACCUGCACCUUGGCCUAUUAUUGGAUUUGAUCAACCGCCUCCAUCUUGGGAUCUUGUGAGAACUCCUGUUUUUGGUUGAUGUUGAUGACAAUGUUUGGCAGCAAUUUGAUCGAUGAAUGAUCACAUCAACUGUUUUUGGAAGGACCAUAAAAAUAUUAUACCCAGCAAAUAUAUUCUUGUAAACAUAACGAGCCAUGUGUUUGAGCUCCGGUCGGUCGAGCAUAUAUUUAAACUGUCUGUUCAUAUUGGAUAAAGUUUGACUGACAAUGAGCUUGUGUUUAUGUA